GAUGAAGAACGCAGCGAAAUGCGAUACGUAAUGUGAAUUGCAGAAUUCAGUGAAUCAUCGAGUCUUUGAACGCACAUUGCGCCCCCUGGUAUUCCGGGGGGCAUGCCUGUCCGAGCGUCAUUGCUGCCCUCAAGCUCGGCUUGUGUGUUGGGCCUCCGUCCUCCUCCCGGGGGACGGGCCCGAAAGGCAGCGGCGGCACCGCGUCCGGUCCUCGAGCGUAUGGGGCUUCGUCACCCGCUCUUGUAGGCCCGGCCGGCGCUUGCCGACACAUCAAUCUUUUUUCCAGGUUGACCUCGGAUCAGGUAGGGAUACCCGCUGAACUUAAGCAUAUCAAUAAGCGGAGGA
rnacentral:misc_RNA from 1 species